AUCCCGUAAGAUUAACAAUCUUUAUUAAUAUCUCAUCGAUGGCGGUAUACAUUUCCGUCUUCGCCUUUUUGAUCUGCGGGCGAUCCGAAGAAUAAACGAUCAGAAUGACUGAAGGAACUGCUACCAUCAGAACAAGGAAGUUCAUGACCAAUCGGCUUCUAUGCCGAAAACAAAUGGUCGUAGAUGUGAUCCAUCCAGGUCAGCCAUCAGUCCGGAAAACUGAAAUCCGAGAAAAGUUGGCCAAGAUGUAUAAAGUAACACCGGAUGUUGUUUUUGUGUUUGGUUUCCAGACCAAUUUUGGUGGUGGCAAAUCUACUGGAUUUGCACUCAUCUAUGAUACCUUGGACUAUGCCAAGAAGUUUGAACCUAAAUACAGGUUAGCAAGGCAUGGUCUCUUUGAAAAACAAAAACAGACAAGGAAACAGCGUAAAGAACGUAAGAAUAGGAUGAAGAAAGUGAGGGGCACCAAGAAAAGUAAAGUUGGUGCGGCAUCUAAGAAGGGAAGGAAGUAGACAAAUGCUCAUCAUUUGCACUACAGAUUUCUGGAGGGGCAGUAUCUUAUUUAUGAUGCUUAUGUAAUACAACAAACUUUUGUGAGGAUUGUGUGGUCCCCAUCGUCGACGUAAGAUUUAUUGUAAAUUAUAACAUUUUUAAUGCCUGUAAUUAUAAUAAAGUUUACGUCAUAAAGGCA